UACAGAGGUCUCAAGCGUUGUUCGGAUUCAUUGGGCGUAAAGGGUGCGUAGGUGGCGCGCUAAGUCAGGUGUGAAAUUUCGGAGCUUAACUCCGAAACUGCAUUUGAUACUGGCGAUCUCGAGUUCGGGAGAGGUGAGUGGAACUGCGAGUGUAGAGGUGAAAUUCGUAGAUAUUCGGAAGAACACCGGUGGCGAAGGCGGCUACCUGGACAGAAACUGACGCUGAGGCGCGAAAGUUAGGGGAGCAAACAGG
rnacentral:rRNA from 1 species